rnacentral:rRNA from 1 species
UACGUAGGGCGCAAGCGUUAUCCGGAAUUAUUGGGCGUAAAGAGCUCGUAGGCGGUUUGUCGCGUCUGCCGCGAAAGUCCGGGGCUCAACUCCGGAUCUGCGGUGGGUACGGGCAGACUAGAGUGAUGUAGGGGAGACUGGAAUUCCUGGUGUAGCGGUGAAAUGCGCAGAUAUCAGGAGGAACACCGAUGGCGAAGGCAGGUCUCGGGGCAUUAACUGACGCUGAGGAGCGAAAGCAUGGGGAGCGAACAGG